GUGAAUUUCUAGAUCAUUAACCUUCCUAAAACAGCCGAAUAUUCUUAUAACAUUAUAAACAGCAUGGCUAAUUGCAAUUUAAGACUAAUAAAAUACCUGACUAGGGCUCUGUGCUGUAAGUAAUCCUGGCCGACUUAAAUAUUUUUUGUUAAUGCAGCCCAUAUAAGUGAUCAAGUAAAGACCUUCCUUGCAAUCCAUAGAUAAUCUCACGCCUUGUCCGCAUCCUAUAUAAAGGCAGGACUUUCUUGGGGUACAAUGGAUUUCACAUUAGCUUGCAGCUAUGACAGAUUCUUCACUUUGAGUCUUACCAUCAAUCAUUAACCUGGAUUUGGAUGGGAAACCACAUUCUUAUGUAGACAGGGUUCUAUAUCACCUGUGAAAGCUUCCUGGGAAACAGACUAUUAUUUGUGUUUAUUGUUCCACAAAUACACACCUACAUUACCCAUGAGCUGGAGGCUUGCACUGCUUACCUGUAUCACGGAUGGACCACCAUAGAAUUGUCUUGGACAGAAGUCAACUUAACGUGAGCUGCCCAUUCCUUACUCUAAAAAUUCAGAAAGUUCGCUUUCGUGAGAUCAUCAAGAAGUUUUGACAUUUUUU